rnacentral:rRNA from 1 species
CAUUCACGGAGAGUUUGAUCCUGGCUCAGGACGAACGCUGGCGGCGUGCUUAACACAUGCAAGUCGAACGAUGAACCACUUCGGUGGGGAUUAGUGGCGAACGGGUGAGUAACACGUGGGCAAUCUGCCCUGCACUCUGGGACAAGCCCUGGAAACGGGGUCUAAUACCGGAUACUGACCCGCUUGGGCAUCCAAGCGGUUCGAAAGCUCCGGCGGUGCAGGAUGAGCCCGCGGCCUAUCAGCUUGUUGGUGAGGUAAUGGCUCACCAAGGCGACGACGGGUAGCCGGCCUGAGAGGGCGACCGGCCACACUGGGACUGAGACACGGCCCAGACUCCUACGGGAGGCAGCAGUGGGGAAUAUUGCACAAUGGGCGAAAGCCUGAUGCAGCGACG